CCUACGGGAGGCAGCAGUGAGGAAUAUUGGUCAAUGGGCGCGAGCCUGAACCAGCCAAGUAGCGUGAAGGAUGACUGCCCUACGGGUUGUAAACUUCUUUUUUAAAGGAAUAAAGUGAGGCACGUGUGCAUUUUUGUAUGGACUUUAUGAAUAAGGAUAGGCUAACUCCGUGCCAGCAGCCGAGGUAAUACGUAGGGUCCGAUCGUUAUCCGGAUUUAUUUGGCUUAAAGGGAGCGUAGAUGGGUUGUUAAGUCAGUUGUGAAAGUUUGCGGCUCAACCGUAAAAUUGCAAUUGAUACUGGCAGUCUUGAUUACAGUUGAGGUAGGCGGAAUUCGUGGUGUAGCAGUGAAAUGCUUAGAUAUCACGAAGAACUCCGAUUGCGAAGGCAGCCUACUAAACUGCCACUGACAUUGAUGCUCGAAAGUGUGGGUAUCAAACAGGAUUAGAUACCCGUGUAGUC
rnacentral:rRNA from 1 species